rnacentral:rRNA from 1 species
GAUGAACGCUGGCGGCGUGCUUAACACAUGCAAGUCGAACGAAGCACUUUAUUUGAUUUCCUUCGGGACUGAUUAUUUUGUGACUGAGUGGCGGACGGGUGAGUAACGCGUGGGUAACCUGCCUUGUACAGGGGGAUAACAGUUGGAAACGGCUGCUAAUACCGCAUAAGCGCACAGCAUCGCAUGAUGCAGUGUGAAAAACUCCGGUGGUAUAGGAUGGACCCGCGUUGGAUUAGCUAGUUGGUGAGGUAACGGCCCACCAAGGCGACGAUCCAUAGCCGACCUGAGAGGGUGACCGGCCACAUUGGGACUGAGACACGGCCCAAACUCCUACGGGAGGCAGCAGUGGGGAAUAUUGCACAAUGGGCGAAAGCCUGAUGCAGCGACGCCGCGUGAGCGAAGAAGUAUUUCGGUAUGUAAAGCUCUAUCAGCAGGGAAGAUAAUGACGGUACCUGACUAAGAAGUACCGGCUAAAUACGUG